rnacentral:rRNA from 1 species
AGUGGCGGACGGGUGAGUAACACGUGAGAAUUUGCCUUUAGGAGGGGGAUAACAAUUGGAAACAAAUGCUAAUACCCCAUAUGCUUUUGAGUGAAAUGGAUUUAUCCGCCUAGAGAGAAGCUCGCGGCUGAUUAGCUUGUUGGUAAGGUAAGAGCUUACCAAGGCGACGAUCAGUAUCUGGUUUGAGAGGACGAUCAGACACACUGGAACUGAGACACGGUCCAGACUCCUACGGGAGGCAGCAGUGGGGAAUUUUCCGCAAUGGGCGAAAGCCUGACGGAGCAAUACCGCGUGAGGGAAGACUGCCUAUGGGUUGUAAACCUCUUUUUUCAGGGAGGAAUAAAAUGACGUGUACCUGAAGAAUAAGCAUCGGCUAACUCCGUGCCAGCAGCCGCGGUAAGACGGAGGAUGCAAGUGUUAUCCGGAAUCACUGGGCGUAAAGCGUCUGUAGGUUGUUUAAUAAGUCAACUGUUAAAGCCUGAGGCUCAACUUCAAAAUCGCAGUCGAAACUAUUAGACUAGAGUAUAGUAGAGGUAAAGGGAAUUUCCAGUGGAGCGGUGAAAUGCGUAGAUAUUGGAAAGAACACCGAUUGCGAAAGCACUUUACUGGGCUAUUACUAACACUCAGAGACGAAAGCUAGGGUAGCAAAUGGGAUUAGAUACCCCAGUAGUCCUAGCCGUAAACAAUGGAUACUAGAUGU